UGGGGAAUAUUGGGCAAUGGGCGCAAGCCUGACCCAGCAAUACCGCGUGUGUGAAGAAGGCCCGAGGGUUGUAAAGCACUUUCAGCGGGGAGGAAAAAGCGCGGGCGAACACCCUGCGCCUUGACAUUACCCGCAGAAGAAGCACCGGCUAACUCCGUGCCAGCAGCCGCGGUAAUACGGAGGGUGCGAGCGUUAAUCGGAAUUACUGGGCGUAAAGCGUGCGCAGGCGGCCCGUUAAGCCAGAUGUGAAAGCCCCGGGCUCAACCUGGGAACUGCAUUUGGGACUGGCGGGCUGGAGUUUGGGAGAGGGGGGCGGAAUUCCGGGUGUAGCGGUGAAAUGCGUAGAUAUCCGGAGGAACACCAGUGGCGAAGGCGGCCCCCUGGCCCAAAACUGACGCUGAGGCACGAAAGCGUGGGUAGCAAACAGG
rnacentral:rRNA from 1 species